rnacentral:tRNA from 2 species
CGGGGUGUGGCGCAGUUGGUUAGCGUGCUUGACUGGGGGUCAAGAGGUCGCGAGUUCGAGUCUCGCCACUCCGA